rnacentral:rRNA from 1 species
AAAUUGAAGAGUUUGAUCAUGGCUCAGAUUGAACGCUGGCGGCAGGCCUAACACAUGCAAGUCGAACGGUAACAGGAAGCAGCUUGCUGCUUUGCUGACGAGUGGCGGACGGGUGAGUAAUGUCUGGGAAACUGCCUGAUGGAGGGGGAUAACUACUGGAAACGGUAGCUAAUACCGCAUAACGUCGCAAGACCAAAGAGGGGGACCUUCGGGCCUCUUGCCAUCGGAUGUGCCCAGAUGGGAUUAGCUUGUUGGUGGGGUAACGGCUCAC